rnacentral:snoRNA from 1 species
CAAGCGAAGACUACUCAUAGUUUGUUCAGACUAGUUCUGUAUAAGCAAAACAGUUUUCGCAAAAUCAGCCUGAGUUUCUUACUACCCAUUUAGCACUUAUAUUGCUGAAAGGUAAUUUCCGAAUUCAGACAUUA